UGAUAGGAGCCUGCAGCCGAGCUUCUUC
rnacentral:sRNA from 1 species